rnacentral:rRNA from 1 species
GACGAACGCUGGCGGCGUGCUUAACACAUGCAAGUCGAACGGAAAGGCCCUGCUUUUGUGGGGUGCUCGAGUGGCGAACGGGUGAGUAACACGUGAGUAACCUGCCCUUGACUUUGGGAUAACUUCAGGAAACUGGGGCUAAUACCGGCUAGGAGCUCCUGCUGCAUGGUGGGGGUUGGAAAGUUUCGGCGGUUGGGGAUGGACUCGCGGCUUAUCAGCUUGUUGGUGGGGUAGUUGCUUACCAAGGCUUUGACGGGUAGCCGGCCUGAGAGGGUGACCGGCCACAAUGGGACUGAGAUACGGCGCAGACGGCAACGGGAGGCAGCAGUGGGGAAUAGUGCACAAUGGGCGGAAGCCUGAUGCAGAGACGCCGGGUGCGGGAUGACGGCCUUCGGGGUGUAAACCGCAGUCGCCUGUGACGAAGCGUGAGUGACGGUAAUGGGUAAAGAAGCACCGGCUAACUACGUG